rnacentral:rRNA from 1 species
AGUGAACGCUGGCGGUAGGCCUAACGCAUGCAAGUCGAACGGCAGCACAGUAAGAGCUUGCUCUUACGGGUGGCGAGUGGCGGACGGGUGAGGAAUACAUCGGAAUCUACUUUUUCGUGGGGGAUAACGUAGGGAAACUUACGCUAAUACCGCAUACGACCUACGGGUGAAAGCAGGGGAUCUUCGGACCUUGCGCGAUUGAAUGAGCCGAUGUCGGAUUAGCUAGUUGGCGGGGUAAAGGCCCACCAAGGCGACGAUCCGUAGCUGGUCUGAGAGGAUGAUCAGCCACAAUGGAACUGAGACACGGUCCAGACUCCUACGGGAGGCAGCAGUGGGGAAUAUUGGACAAUGGGCGCAAGCCUGAUCCAGCCAUACCGCGUGGGUGAAGAAGGCCUUCGGGUUGUAAAGCCCUUUUGUUGGGAAAGAAAAGCAGCAGGUUAAGACCCCGCUGUUCUGACGGUACCCAAAGAAUAAGCACCGGCUAACUUCGU